GGAGAGCAUUUCUCUCAUAACCUAAUUCUUCUCACGAGUCUCAGUCAUCUCAAAUUCAGCCUCUUUCUCAACUCUGUUGACAAUAUCAAAGCCUAUAGGAGAAAACCAAGAGAAAAUAACAGACACCGACCAAGCAUUUGACUGAGUUCAAUUUCCCUAGAAGAAGGCGGAUACUACUGAGUCAAGUGAAUCUGUUAUUCAUCUUGUUGAUGAUUAUGAUAAUCCAAUUUCCUUGAGGACUUUGUUUCAUCAUUGGACAACAUAUUCUGUUAAAUAGGCACAAAAACAUCCGGGUCGGAGGUAGUCAGUUAAAGGACACACGAUUUACGGCAGAAGGAAAGCUCAUGGUUUGAUGUAAAUGGAUAUUCACCGUCAAGUAUAGGACAUAUGGAAACAUUGCCAGAUUCCAGGCUUGACUGGUAGUAAAAGGUCAAGGAUACGCUCAUCCUAUGGAUUAAUUAUUAAGAGUCUUCAUCCUAUGGUCAAGGUUAGAGUUGGUGAGCGAGUAUUGUUAUAAGUGGCUACUGCAGGGGAGUAGUACAAGUGGGUAAUACAGGGGUUUGUAAUAAGGGGUUAUUUUACUUUCUUUUGCAUAGAUAGUAUGAAUAAGAGAUGCUAGAUACUGAAAAGGGUAUCGAGUUCUGUAGAAAUGUAAAGGGCAUGAGGUAGGGAGAGUAACAGCCUCCCGAAUGCUGUAAAUUCUUAUGUAAUCUUCCAAUUUCAUCAUUCAAUUUUACACUGUUGA